rnacentral:rRNA from 1 species
GAAUUUUCCGCAAUGGGCGAAAGCCUGACGGAGCAAUCUCGCGUGAGGGAUGACGGCCUAUGGGUUGUAAACCUCUUUUUUCAGGGAGGAAAAAAAUGACGUGUACCUGAAGAAUAAGCAUCGGCUAACUCCGGGCCAGCAGCCGCGGCAAGACGGAGGAUGCAAGUGUUAACCGGAAUCUCUGGGCGUAAAGCGUCUGUAGGUGGUUUAGUAAGUCACCUGUUAAAUCUUGAAGCUCAACUUCAAAAUCGCAGUCGAAACUAUUAGACUAGAGUAUAGUAGGGGUAAAGGGAAUUUCCAGUGGAGCGGUGAAAUGCGUAGAGAUUGGAAAGAACACCGAUGGCGAAGGCACUUUACUGGGCUAUUACUGACACUCAGAGACGAAAGCUAGGGUAGCAAAUGGG